rnacentral:rRNA from 1 species
UGGGGAAUAUUGGACAAUGGGCGCAAGCCUGAUCCAGCCACGCCGCGUGAGUGAUGAAGGCCUUCGGGUCGUAAAGCUCUGUGGGGAGGGACGAACCGCUGAUGGUGCAUAGCCAGCAGCAUGACGGUACCUCCUUAGCAAGCACCGGCUAACUUCGUGCCAGCAGCCGCGGUAAUACGAAGGGUGCAAACGUUGCUCGGAAUUAUUGGGCGUAAAGCGCACGUAGGCGGCUUAGCAAGUCGGAAGUGAAAUCCCUCGGCUCAACCAAGGAAGUGCUUUCGAAACUGCUGAGCUUGAGUACUUAAGAGGAUCGCGGAAUUCCCGGUGUAGAGGUGAAAUGCGUAGAUAU